rnacentral:lncRNA from 1 species
GGUUUGAUUUUAGAAGAAAUCAGUGUUUUGAUUGAAUAUGUAUUGUUUAUCCCUGCAUAGUUGAUAAUCAGAUACAAUUUUUUAUCAAAGGAACUGUUUUAAGAAUACCAAAAUAUUCUGGUAGCUAACCUGUAAGUAGAGGAGACAAUGCUUCAUGCCUUAAGUACAACACUUUCCAUGUUGUCAGCUUUGAGACUGAUAAAAGCUUGUGAGAUUGAGACAUCCCCUUCUUCAGAUUUGCCUGAUUUGUCCUUACUUCUCUUCAGUCUCCAGCUGUGAUUUAAGUGUUGCUUCUUUUCAUACCUAGUCAAGUGAGGAGGUGCAUCAGCCCUUAAUAGUGAAUGAGAUGUCAUGCAGCCUUCAAGAUGUCUUAUGUAAAAAAAAAAAAAAACCAACAAAACUUAAAGAGCUGUAUCAACCUAAACCAGAGCAAAACACCAAAUGUUCAGGUGGUGCCCUGACAAAAUGUGAAACAGCUGCUUUCUUACAGCCUGCUACUGGAACAAUGUGGUACUGGAUUUGAAAUAGGUUCUGAACAUCGAAGUAUUACAGCUGGAUGUUCAGCUAUGCAGAUCGAUGCAGUGCCCUUGCUUGAGCAAGAAGUCCAUGUUUGUUGUACAUUAAGUGUGGAGGAGGAUAUGAAGUGUCUGUGGUGUUCUGGUUGGCUUGCUGGAAAUCUGCUACCUCUGAGUGUGACUGCCAAGAGUACAUCCUUGAGCCUAUGUUCAACUAAAUAACACAUCUUUCAACACCAUAAGAAAAUAAAUAUAAAUAUACUGAUUUUGAUGACCUAAUC